rnacentral:rRNA from 1 species
AUUGAACGCUGGCGGCAUGCUUUACACAUGCCAGUCGAACGGUGACAGGCCGCAAGGUGCUGACGUGUGGGGGACGGGAGAGUAAUGCUUAGGAAUGUGCCCAGUCGUGGGGGAUAACUACCAGAAAGAGUAGCUAAUAGCGAAUACGAUAUAUGGACGAUAGAGGGGGACUGUAAGGCCUCAAGCUGUAGUUGCGGCCGAUGUCGAUUUAGGUAGUUGGUGGGGUAAAGGUGCACCAAGCCAACGACCCGUAGCCGGUCUGAGAGGACGACCCCCCACACUGGGACGGAGACACGGCCCAGACUCCAACGGGAGGAGGCGGUGGGGAAUUUUGGACAAUGGGCGCAAUCCUGAUCCAGCAAUGCCGCUGGGAGGAAGAAGGCUUUCGGGUGUUAAACUGCGUUUGUACGGAACGAAACGGCUCUGAGUAAAACCCUCAGCAAAUGACGGUACCGUAAGAAAAAGCACCGGCUAACUACGUG